rnacentral:rRNA from 1 species
UGGGGAAUAUUGCGCAAUGGGCGAAAGCCUGACGCAGCCAUACCGCGUGUGUGAAGAAGGCUCUAGGGUCGUAAAGCACUUUAAGUAGGGAGGAAGGCCUGUAAAUUAAUACUUUGCAGGAUUGACGUUACCUACAGAAUAAGCACCGGCUAACUCCGUGCCAGCAGCCGCGGUAAUACGGAGGGUGCAAGCGUUAAUCGGAAUUACUGGGCGUAAAGCGCGCGUAGGCGGUUUGGUAAGCGGGGUGUGAAAGCCCUGGGCUCAACCUGGGAACUGCAUCCCGAACUGCCAGACUAGAGUACAAGAGAGGGUGGUAGAAUUUCCUGUGUAGCGGUGAAAUGCGUAGAUAUAGGAAGGAAUACCAGUGGCGAAGGCGGCCACCUGGCUUGAUACUGACGCUGAGGUGCGAAAGCGUGGGGAGCGAACAGGAUUAGAUACCCCCGUAGUCC